GACGAACGCUGGCGGCGUGCUUAACACAUGCAAGUCAUGGGGACCCGCAAGGGUAACCGGCGAACGGGUGCGUAACACGUGUGCAAUCUGCCGAUUUCUGGGGGAUAGCCGGCCCAACGGCCGGGUAAUACCGCAUACGUUCUCGAGGGGGAGUCCCCUUGGGAAGAAACCUCCGGGGGAAAUCGAGGAGCUCGCGGCCUAUCAGCUAGUUGGCGGUGUAAUGGACCACCAAGGCUAUGACGGGUAGCUGGCUGAGAGGAUGGCCAGCCACAUUGGGACUGAGAGACGGCCCAGACUCCUACGGGAGGCAGCAGUGGGGAAUCUUGCGCAAUGGCCGAAAGGCUGACGCAGCGACGCCGCGUGUGGGAUGAAGCUCUUCGGGGUGUAAACCACUGUUGCCCGGGACGAACAUCCUCUUUCGAGAGACUGACGGUACCGGGUGAGGAAGCACCGGCUAACUCCGUGCCAGCAGCCGCCGACGGU
rnacentral:rRNA from 1 species